rnacentral:rRNA from 1 species
GAUGAACGCUGGCGGCGUGCCUAACACAUGCAAGUCGAACGGAGAUUACGGACGGAAGUUUUCGGAUGGAAGCCUGUAAUUCUUAGUGGCGGACGGGUGAGUAACGCGUGGGCAACCUGCCCUAUACAGGGGGAUAGCAGCUGGAAACGGCUGGUAAGACCGCAUAAGUCGGUUAAAUCGCAUGAUUUGAUCGGGAAAUGAGCAAUCAGGUAUAGCAUGGGCCCGCGGCCGAUUAGCCAGUUGGCAGGGUAAAAGCCUACCAAAGCGACGAUCGGUAGCCGGACUGAGAGGUCGGACGGCCACAUUGGGACUGAGACACGGCCCAAACUCCUACGGGAGGCAGCAGUGGGGGAUAUUGCACAAUGGAGGAAACUCUGAUGCAGCGACGCCGCGUGAGUGAAGAAGUAUUUCGGUAUGUAAAGCUCUAUCAGCAGGGAAGAUGAUGACGGUACCUGACUAAGAAGCCCCGGCUAACUACGUG